ensembl:lncRNA
CACCGGGCGACAGGUGUGUUAGAAGCUACAGCAACAACAUGCAAAGGUUUAAAAAUGGUCAAAUAUUGAUAAUUUCGUGUGGUUCAAUUUAAUACUCCAAAAGAUCGGUCAAGACCUCAGUGCUGAUCAACAAGAAGCUGGUCACUUUUGGCAUCUAUGUGGAUGGACCAGCCUUAUAUGAGAGAGCAUGUGUCAGGUAGACGGACAACUCAGGAAGAAGAGCAGCAUCUUCCAAGAUCUCCCGGAAGUAGAGACCAUUCACUCCUCUCCUGUGGACCCUCACUCACCCGCCCUGAUCUCAUGGCUCAGUGAAUGGCUGCAUCGCCUACUCCACUGUGCAGGAUUUAUAAACCCUGGCAUCAGCCUCCAUAAUUCGACAGA